rnacentral:lncRNA from 1 species
ACGCGACCUUUAGGUAGCAGAGUUGCGCCACUGUUUUCCGGACGCCGCUCGCUCUGCCUUCGGUGAUUCCAGCAACGCUAUUCGCCGAGCGCCGUCACGUGCUCAUAGGUGUCUCCUUUGCGCAGCGGAGAAGCCAACACUCCCAAUACUUCGCA